AGUGAACGCUGGCGGUAGGCCUAACACAUGCAAGUCGAACGGCAGCACAGUAAGAGCUUGCUCUUACGGGUGGCGAGUGGUGGACGGGUGAGGAAUAUAUCGGAAUCUACUUUUUCGUGGGGGAUAACGUAGGGAAACUUACGCUAAUACCGCAUACGACCUACGGGUGAAAGCAGGGGAUCUUCGGACCUUGCGCGAUUGAAUGAGCCGAUGUCGGAUUAGCUAGUUGGCGGGGUAAAGGCCCACCAAGGCGACGAUCCGUAGCUAGUCUGAGAGGAUGAUCAGCCACACUGGAACUGAGACACGGUCCAGACUCCUACGGGAGGCAGCAGUGGGGAAUAUUGGACAAUGGGCGCAAGCCUGAUCCAGCCAUACCGCGUGGGUGAAGAAGGCCUUCGGGUUGUAAAGCCCUUUUGUUGGGAAAGAAAAGCAGCAGGUUAAUACCCCGCUGUUCUGACGGUACCCAAAGAAUAAGCACCGGCUAACUUCGUG
rnacentral:rRNA from 1 species